GUAAAUAUGAGGAGGGGAGCGGGCACAGUCAUUUCAUCUCUAUCCUCUCCACUCUCUCCAUUUUCUCCCUCUCCCAAAUCUGUACAAGUGCUUGGUGUUUCCGGAGGGGUUCUUUUGACGUUCAGAUCCGACCGCUCCUGCAAUACCAGACAGAGAGAAAGAUGGCCGAUGCUGCUGGUCAAGAGGUUUGUGGAGUUUGUUUCAACCAUUGCAACUAUGAGAGCAAGGGAAGUGGUUUCAGCAUGUUUGCAUGGGAGGAGUUCAACAAUGCAGGGGUUGUGCCUUGCAAUGAAAGGGUCCGUUUCAAUAAUGUGACUAGAGAGAAGGUGACUUUGUGGCAAACCAAAGGACAUACACUGUAAAGUGUUAAAAGGGUCAUACAAAGAGUGCUAUGUAUGGGAGCGGUUGGAGGAAGUUCUAUGAUGACAACAAGCUAGGGAAGGGUCAGAUGGUGGUGUUCUUCCUGGAUGAACCUUCGCCUAGGGCAGCUAUUUGUGUGAUCCAAGUGGGCAGCGGCUCCGAAGAUGAACAGCCUAUGGAAGAGGGUGAUCCCAUUGAAGCUUCAAGCGAUGAUGGUGAAGGCAUUGUUCGCAUCAGGGAGCUUCUACUUAAUGAGACAGAGUGUUUUCAGCUACAAGGGUUGCUGCCUCUCAGUGAUGAUUUCAUCGGGUUUCCUUUCGUUCACCGCCUCACAAGGACAGACAAUUGUUUGGGCAUGAUGUCACUGGAAUGUGGAUCCAGGCUCAACAUCUUUCUAGAGGCCACCCAACGGCACUGUUCGAAUUGAGACACAGAGAGAAAACGGGAGAGGAAGGAAGCCACAUCACGGGGGUGGGGUUUCCGCGGCGGAACUCGCCGGCGAUGAGAUGCUCGGCGACGCCCGUGAGGAGAUGCUCGGCGAUCCGAGCGCCCCUCCAGAGUCCUCGCGCCCUGCUGAUGAGGGUCUGAUGGAUGCCCGCAUGCAGAUUGAACGCGAGAUCGAAACUAAAACCAAGUCCUCCUUGAAAGAAGGGUUAGGUCAACAGCUUAAAAUUGAUCAUAUGAAGGAGUCCAAAGACUUAAAAAGAGAUUGCCUAAACAAUGUGCCGCACACAGGUACAGCUUUUGAAGUUGAAGGAGGGAAACCUGAGAGUGAUAGAAAUGAAGAAGGCGGAGAUAAGUUGUGUUAAAGAUACUGAUUUAGAAGAGAGAGGCUAUGAUGUCGAGAUCACUCACAAUGAAGCAUCAGAAGGUUUGCUAUACGAAGAAGUUCUGACAUUGCUGAGUAAGAGUGCUCAAAGGAAAGAACGACGGGAAGCUCUUUUGGAACGAAAAAAGAAGCAAAGAGCAAGGAUUGACCCAACCACAACAAAGGCCACCAUUGAUGAGAUUGCAACUAAAGCUUACAGCCGGUGCAGUGUGCCAUACUUCUUUGAGAUUGUCAAUCUCGUGUGGAAGAGCCACCGCAGGGCCCAGCUUGUUAGGAAUAGUGGUUUUGGCUAUCUGCUGGAGCUGGUCGACUGUCCUGUACCCAGGGGUUUGUGCAGUGGAUUGCUGAUAAUGUGGACACACAAGUAGAAGCAACUGUUUUGAACAAGAGCAUUCCACUCAACGCUCAGUCAGUGGAGUUUGUGUUGGGGAUUCCUUCAGGGUUUUACCUGACAGAGAGAACGUACAACUGGGAGAGGAGCAAAAGUUUUCCUCUUGUUUAGCUAUACAUGGGCUUUUUGCUUU